GAUCAUGGCUCAGGAUGAACGCUAGCUACAGGCUUAACACAUGCAAGUCGAGGGGAAACGACAUCGAAAGCUUGCUUUUGAUGGGCGUCGACCGGCGCACGGGUGAGUAACGCGUAUCCAACCUGCCCAUCACUUGGGAAUAACCUUGCGGAAGUAAGACUAAUGCCCAAUGAUAUCCCACGAAGGCAUCCGAAUGGGAUUAAAGAUUUAUAGGUGAUGGAUGGGGAUGCGU
rnacentral:rRNA from 1 species